rnacentral:tRNA from 1 species
GGGGAUGUAGCUCAGUUAGGCAGAGCGCCUGCUUUGCAAGCAGGAGGUCGGGGGUUCGAUUCCCCUCAUCUCCA